rnacentral:lncRNA from 1 species
CCCCACUGGCCACCCAGGCUGAAGCCCCUGCCCGCCCCUCAGCCUCCCUGGCGGUCCAUGCGGCUUCUUGGCACCCCCGCCCCGCCCCUUCAGGGUGUCACCCACCUGGUCUGGUCCCUGCAUGGCCCAUGGCGGCAAGCGACCCCUGGCGGCGGCUGGGGGUGUUGUUGCGCCCACCCGAGGGCCAGUACUGGAGUGCUGCUCACCAGGCCAAGGGGCAGACUUGCAGAGCCUUGGAAGCAGGUCCUGGGACUGCAACCCCCAGGCUCAGACACUACUGGGGCCAGGUGACUGCGGCCGGAUCUUGGCCUGGGUCCCUCCCUAUGUGGGGAGCCCCACUCUUCACUGAUGGGAGAAAACGGCUUUUCUGGACGGCGUGAUCUGGGCACAGCAGCAGCACCGACCCCUGGAAACAGGUUACAGCGUCAACCCUUGGUCCUGCCCGGCCCCUCAGGAGGCCCUGGCCCUCUGGCUGGUGCUGGGGUCCUAGGUGCCAUGGCUGAACCCAGCGACCAGCAUCUCUCAGCUUGGUGCCCAGGGUUCCCGGGAUGCCCCAGCUGGGCCAAGCCUCUGCCUGACCAGAAGGGCUCCUGGAACUGCCUUGGGUUCCAGUGUGCCUGUCUGAGUUUGAGAUCCACAGGACGGGACUACUGGAGACGGGGUUAGGGUCGGGGAGGAAGCCCUGCCGUAUGGAGACAGAACUUCCUCAGGGAAGCCUGUUUUGCUCUGAAACCUCCACGCCCCCGAGGACGACAGGAGCUGAGCAGCUGCACCUGCAGGGGGCCUCCCUCCACACCCACACCCAGGUCAUCCCACGCCCCCGUGGCAAGGGGAGGCUUGGCCAAGGACCAAGGUGCAAAGACAGCAGCUUGUAGCCCCGCUGGCUUGGACCACGAGUCCACCAGCCUCCGAGAACUUUCUGGAUUUCAGCUUUGGAAAGUUCCUUCUGCUUCUGAACUUCCUCUUGAGAAAAGAAAAGCAAACGUUCAGGAUGAGGAGGCAACCGAAACGAUGGGUGCCAGAGACAGCCCAAGGAAUGAGGCGAGGGACUCGAGCGCCAGGAGAGGCGGGCAGUGGGUGUGAGCCUCGGAGGGUGAUGGGUCCCUCCACCCGCGAUCUUCUAGGCCGGAUGCAAAGCCCAGGAAACAGCUGUUUCCUCCACAUCAGAUCCGCAGGGAACUGGAGCCUGGGCCACAGGUCCCUGAAGAGGCGGCGCCCAACACCCUAGAGCCUAGGGUGAGGCCUGGGAGCCGGUAUGGCGAGCUCCAGGCUGUGUGUCGUGCUUCAUGGUGGUCCUGGAGGGACUGCAAGGGCCAGGCGGUCACCUGCCACCGGCUGACACUCAGCCUAAGACAGAUCCCCACAGUAGCACCUCCAGGAGCCCAAGCUUUUGGGAGGCCAGAUGAGGCCUGGUGUUCCUGUCCUGCCAGACACCUACAGAGGCUGCUGCUAGACAUGGCCGCACGGGGAGGGCAGGGUGGAGUGGGGUAGGCCACGGUGGGACCGACUCUGCUCCCACCACAGCCCCACUGCUAGCUCAGCAUCUGCACAACUUUGGGGCCUGACAAGCGCUGGCUCUGUGGGAGCCUCCAGCCUCACUACCACCAGCUUCCCCGCAACUCGCCUCAGUGCUUCCACGGCUGGGCCCAUGUUGAAGGGACUUGUGUGUUAGGAAAAGGGGCCUCAGGAGGGUGGGGUCCUAGGCAGGGUGCAGGGCAGGGCCAGGGUGGGGCAUAGGCAGCCCCUCGUGGAGGCACGUGGCCUCGGCGGCCCGGGCACUCACCCAUGGCCUGGUACACAACCUCUUCGAACCUGUCCAUGAUCUUCCUGUGGGAGGAGAACAGACACACAGCCAUUGCCUCGGGUGCCCAGCGGUCCCAGGCCAGGUGGGGAUGGGGACGGGGACAGGGAUGGCGAGGGGGAUGGGGACGGGGAGGACGGGGGAUGGGGACGGGGAGGACGGGGGAUGGGGAUGGGGACNGGGAUGGCGAGCGGGAUGGGGACGGGGAGGACAGGGGAUGGGGCCUCCUUACCCCAGUUCCAGGUUCUUCCCGUGGAGCUCCUCACACCUGCUCCUCAGCUCCCGGUUCUCCUCCUGUGUCGCCUUUACCUGCUCAGGCCACACCCCAAGUCAGCAGGCAGGCGGGCCAGACUGACCCUCCCAGGACCUCCCCACAGGAUGGGGGCAGCCCCCACCCGAGGUCCCUGGAGCGACGUCCCAGAGGCACAGUUCCAUGUGGGGCUUCCAGUGGGACCCCUGGGAACCCUCUCCAGGCCAAGGCCACCUGCUCCACGUGCACUCCACUGGCANGGGGCAGGACGCAUGAGGCUGCUGGCUGUGCCUCUGGGUGGAAACCGCAGGCACCCAACAGGUGUGUGUCUCUGCAGCCGCCCCUGCAGCCCAGUGGCAAAUACUAGGGGUCCUAAGUGUUAAAUAUAGUGAACUCCAAGUUUGUCUUCAAAGAAU